rnacentral:rRNA from 1 species
AUGAGCGCUAGCUACAGGCUUAACACAUGCAAGUCGAGGGGCAGCAUGGUCUUAGCUUGCUAAGGCCGAUGGCGACCGGCGCACGGGUGAGUAACACGUAUCCAACCUGCCGUCUACUCUUGGACAGCCUUCUGAAAGGAAGAUUAAUACAAGAUGGCAUCAUGAGUCCGCAUGUUCACAUGAUUAAAGGUAUUCCGGUAGACGAUGGGGAUGCGUUCCAUUAGAUAGUAGGCGGGGUAACGGCCCACCUAGUCUUCGAUGGGUAGGGGUUCUGAGAGGAAGGUCCCCCACAUUGGAACUGAGACACGGUCCAAACUCCUACGGGAGGCAGCAGUGAGGAAUAUUGGUCAAUGGGCGAGAGCCUGAACCAGCCAAGUAGCGUGAAGGAUGACUGCCCUAUGGGUUGUAAACUUCUUUUAUAAAGGAAUAAAGUCGGGUAUGGAUACCCGUUUGCAUGUACUUUAUGAAUAAGGAUCGGCUAACUCCGUGCCAGCAGCCGCGGUAAUACGGAGGAUCCGAGCGUUAUCCGGAUUUAUUGGGUUUAAAGGGAGCGUAGGCGGACGCUUAAGUCAGUUGUGAAAGUUUGCGGCUCAACCGUAAAAUUGCAGUUGAUACUGGAUAUCUUGAGUGCAGUUGAGGCAGGCGGAAUUCGUGGUGUAGCGGUGAAAUGCUUAGAUAUCACGAAGAACUCCGAUUGCGAAGGCAGCCUGCUAAGCUGCAACUGACAUUGAGGCUCGAAAGUGUGGGUAUCAAACAGGAUUAGAUACCCUGGUAGUCCACACGGUAAACGAUGAAUACUCGCUGUUUGCGAUAUACAGCAAGCGGCCAAGCGAAAGCGUUAAGUAUUCCACCUGGGGAGUACGCCGGCAACGGUGAAACUCAAAGGAAUUGACGGGGGCCCGCACAAGCGGAGGAACAUGUGGUUUAAUUCGAUGAUACGCGAGGAACCUUACCCGGGCUUAAAUUGCAGAUGAAUUACGGUGAAAGCCGUAAGCCGCAAGGCAUCUGUGAAGGUGCUGCAUGGUUGUCGUCAGCUCGUGCCGUGAGGUGUCGGCUUAAGUGCCAUAACGAGCGCAACCCUUGUUGUCAGUUACUAACAGGUUCUGCUGAGGACUCUGACAAGACUGCCAUCGUAAGAUGUGAGGAAGGUGGGGAUGACGUCAAAUCAGCACGGCCCUUACGUCCGGGGCUACACACGUGUUACAAUGGGGGGUACAGAGGGCCGCUACCACGCGAGUGGAUGCCAAUCCCCAAAACCUCUCUCAGUUCGGACUGGAGUCUGCAACCCGACUCCACGAAGCUGGAUUCGCUAGUAAUCGCGCAUCAGCCACGGCGCGGUGAAUACGUUCCCGGGCCUUGUACACACCGCCCGUCAAGCCAUGGGAGCCGGGGGUACCUGAAGUGCGUAACCGCGAGGAGCGCCCUAGGGUAAAACUGGUGACUGGGGCU